rnacentral:tRNA from 1 species
GCUGGAAUAGCUCAGUUGGUUAGAGCUUGAGGCUGUUAACCACAAGGUCGGACGUUCAAGCCCUCCUUCUAGCG